rnacentral:lncRNA from 1 species
GGGCCCUGCGUGCACCUGCCAGUCCAACAGAUGGCACAUCUGCCCUACCUCAGGUCUACAGGGACCACCAGGAGGAAGGAGACCCAGGCUCCGGGCAGAGCUGCUUGGCUGCUCGGAAAUCACUGGCCCCACGCAGCUGUGUAAACAUCAGCGAACUGAAACGAAAUAAAAUUAAAAACCGACUUCCUUCUUGCACAACCCCAUUCCAAGUGCUUGGGAGCAGCCGCCUAUGGACCCCCGCUCUCACUGGGCAGGCUCUCUCGGAGGCCCUGGGGCUGCUCAGCUCCGGGGAGAGCUGGGGGUUGGGCAAGCUCAGAGGAAGGCUGCUUGGCCAACCCGUGGUUCAUUAACAGACUUCCAGAAACUCUGAGUCCAUCUACCCUAUCUUUCGAUCUGGAUUUUUAAAAGUUUUUGUUUCAGAGCCCUGCUCUGGGGUGCCCUGUAGACGCUGUUCUGGAAUGGUUAGGAGAAGAAUCGUCCUGAACACUGUUUAGGCCCGUGGCAUGGGCUGCUGCGGGGGAGAGGAAAGGCCUCCAUUGCAGCUGGUUUUUGGGUGCUCACAGCUUAAUGGACAGAGAGUGGCUACCCCAGUACAGAAAGUCCAAGCGCACACCUCAGCAGUUCAGGUGAGCAGCUGGGGCGGCUCUCGAGGGGAGGACAAUCACGUUGCUGAAGGUUUUUAUCACCAGCAUGCCACGCUGACCACGUGGUAAGGAUCCCAACUUGGGGGCCUCCCCUGUGCCUUGACAUUGGGCUUAUGUCCAUCUGGACACGCCACUGUCACCCCAAACUCCGCACAUCCAGAGUGGAAAGCGCCUUUCCAAAUCCUGUGCCUUCUGUCUCGCUGCCACCAGGUGGUGGUCCCUUCAGACCCGGCAACCUGCGCCUUUCACGGAAGACAUUCCAGAGUCCUGUCAGCCUCUCCCUGCCUUUGUCCCCCUAGAUUAUCUGCCUGCCCAUUUCUUUACUGACUUUGUUACAAGCUCUGGGAUAUAGGCCCAUGCUUGUCCUGGUGCUUGGCUGCAGGAGGCCCGUGAGUUCCUUAAUACUGUGGUUCUCUCCGAACGGUGAUUGACAGAUGGUGCUUGGAUGACCCAUGACCCCAAGAGAAGAAAUGAACUUGAGAAAAUUCUGGAGAUGAAUCCUCAAAGCAGGGGUCGCUGAAUGUUUCCUUAAAGGGUCAGGAGGUGACUCGGGAGGUUUCCUCAGGUGGGAGCUGUACCAUUGUGACAUCUGUCCCUGACAGAGACCCACUCUGUGUGUGUGUGUG